AACUUGGAACUCUGCGCGCUUCGCAGGGGACCUUUUGCCCGCCGACGGCCUCCUCAUCCAAGGGAACGACUUGAAGAUCGACGAGAGCUCGCUCACGGGGGAGUCGGAUCAUGUCAAGAAGACGCAGGAGAAAGAUUUGAUGCUGUUGUCGGGCACCCACGUGAUGGAAGGCUCGGGGAAAAUGGUGGUCACGGCGGUGGGCGUCAACUCUCAAACUGGAAUUAUUUUCACGCUGCUCGGUGCCGCCGAGGACGAGGAUGACGACGACGAAGAUGAAAAGAAGAAGGAAAAAGAGGAGAAGAAGAAACAGAGGAAAA